AUUGAACGCUGGCGGAAUGCUUUACACAUGCAAGUCGAACGGUAGAGGGGGCAACCCCUCGAGAGUGGCGAACGGGUGAGUAAUAUAUCGGAACGUGCCCAGUCGUGGGGGAUAACGUAGCGAAAGUUACGCUAAUACCGCAUACGAUCUAAGGAUGAAAGCGGGGGAUCGCAAGACCUCGCGCGAUUGGAGCGGCCGAUAUCAGAUUAGGUAGUUGGUGGGGUAGAGGCUCACCAAGCCAACGAUCUGUAGCUGGUCUGAGAGGACGACCAGCCACACUGGAACUGAGACACGGUCCAGACUCCUACGGGAGGCAGCAGUGGGGAAUUUUGGACAAUGGACGCGAGUCUGAUCCAGCCAUUCCGCGUGCAGGAUGAAGGCCCUCGGGUUGUAAACUGCUUUUGUACGGAACGAAAAGGUCUCUCUUAAUACGGGGGGCUCAUGACGGUACCGUAAGAAUAAGCACCGGCUAACUACGUGCCAGCAGCCGCCGCGG
rnacentral:rRNA from 1 species